ensembl:lncRNA
GAUCAGUAGAACCAGUACUACAAGGCUUUAUUUGGAUUUGUUUCACAAUAGGAGUAGUUGUGUUGUUUGGUUGACACUGAGAAAAUGAUUCAAAUCAUGCCCCCAAAAAUGUGUUUGCAUUUUAGAUGUACUCAUCUGACCAUUCCCUUUGCAGAGAAGGAAAUCAUUCCUAUUUGCAGUCUGAAGAGAUGGCUGGAGAUAGAGUUCACUCAGUGAGUACAGAAGUGUCAAAAUAUUAUUAUUCAUAAUGACAAGUGGAGCUUCUGUUCCAGCCUGAGGAUUCUGAUGAAAUGACUUUCUAAUCCUACAGCCUAUUUCAUAUUCAUGGAGGAGGUUUAAGAGAAAUGAGGGAAGAAUCUGCAUCGAGCUUUAUGAACAGCUCGGAUACAAACUGAAGUUUCUGUGUAGUAAGAAACAUUCCUGAGCUGUGAUAUGCUGAUAUUCAUUUUGAAACCUACAAAUGCUGAUGUGUUUGUAUCUUGGGAUUUAACUUGGGCUAUUCCAGAGAAAGGAGCUUGACAUAAAAAUUUAACAUAUUCAAAGGCCUUUUUUUUCUUCACAAUUGGCCCCAAGCCCAAGUUGACCUUAUUUUAGUGCCAUUUCUUAUUAAAUAUUCUGGGGGCAAAGAGCAAGUUUUUCUUGGCAGAGGAGAAGCAGUCUUAUCAUUAUGAAAAUACUUGCAACGACUCAAAGUUCCUGGCACUUUUUGUUAUGUACAGAUAAAAUUUGUCAUGAUACAGGUGGUUGUAGAGUAACUACUGAGAAGUAACAUCUCUGGAGGGGUAUUUCAGACUCAGCUAGAAGGCAGGAGAAAAACAGCCUUUAUGUAUGUGAGAAAGAUCCCAGUUUUUUAUCUGCUUAUAAUAUUGGUGUCUGUAAAAUCAGUACCUUCUGCCUACUCUUUCCCACAAUUCUCAAAUUAUUGUUUUUCACCACUUUCCAAAAUAGUCACCUACGUGGUAUAUGGCUGACAUUUUUUUCUUUUUUAGUUAAAAUAAAUGACUGGCCAAUUUGCAUUUUUCCCUGCCUUUUCAGUGCUUACCAGUCUUUCAGUAGAAUGUCCCUCAAGCAGCAUGUCAUCUAAGGAUCUUAUUCAGUAACAUUUUAAUGUUGACUUCCAAGUUAUUAUUAGAAUAACGCAGGUACAUGAAUUGUUUGGUAUAGGACACUGCUAGUAUCAUGGGGUUGUGCCUGUGAAAAUGUAGGUGUCAACUACCACAGUAGAUGUUGUAAGGUACCAGAGACAUGGGCAUAGUGCUGGCAGCUGCCACUCAGUGAGAGCUGCGCCCUUGUUGGGUAGUAGUUAGAGCCAGGUGUUGAAAUCCCCUUUAUAGCUUCUUGAGAUCUCCUUAACAGGACAGAAGUCCUUCUGGUGCAUUGUGGGGUUAUUUGUCCUUGUUUCCUCAGUGUUUAAUUCAGCUACUCACAUCUAUCCCCUCAACUCCUCUGUGGCUUUGAUGAGGCCAAGUGAUCCAGAUACACUAUAGACAGUAGUUCAACUUCCAUUAUCAGUAUCUGCCACAGGAAUUGAUAUUUGUUCUUUUUUUAAUACCCUUGUGUCAACAUAAUAACAUGUUCUGCACUUAAUAUAUGAAAUUAGGUUUUACUGGAAAAAAAAAAGUGAGUUUCUUUAUUGUUUUUCCUUUUCUUAUCUUUUACUGAAGUCUCCUUACUUACCUUUUAUUUCUAAAUGACAUUCACAAUAUUAAACAUAGACUGUUUUGUACACUAUGUGAUAUUGCAGAAUCUAAUGAUAUGAUUCAGGUGCAAAUUGAGUCUCAAAAUGAAGCAUAGUACUCUCAGUGUGUUCGGAUAGUUCCAUGUCAUUAUUCAGCUUGGUUGCAGUCAAAAGUGUCUAAAUGAGACUAUGUGUAGAAAAAGAAAAUGCAUUUAAAAGACUGUCAAAUAAGACAUUGAACAGAAUGUAUUAGUGUGUACAUCUCUUCCUGUCUACAUACAUAGACACAAAAUGGUUGUGGAUUAUUGCAGUUUAUUGCUUAUGAAAGUAAAGCCAAAUGAUAAAUGUAUUUUUCACAAUACAUGUUAUUUAUUUGUAUCUCUGUAGUUGGUUUCAGUGGCUUGCUACUUCUUGCAUCCUACAGUAGUGGC